AUAGGGAAGAUUAAAACAAUUCAAUUUUGUUUGUAUCUAUCUGCUAGAUAGAUACUUGAUGGGGGAGCCGUGUGAAUAUGUGCGGUUAUUAUCCUUUAAAUUGUUUCGGCUACAUUACGUGGUGUUUCGCUAUGGAUUCGGUGGUUGAAUCCAGGUUCGGUGGUCGAAUCACGGUUCGAAUCCAGGUUCAAUCCUGAGUUUGGUUGUUGGGUUGAGGGCUUGGGGGGUCCUCACUCUACUCGACCAUAGCCGUAAGGUGAGGUUCUCCCCCCAUCCAAGUUUUGGGAAUUGUUGUAUUUCUUUGCAAAGAAUCUGUUCUUAAUUGUACAAUGUAUAUGAACAAUAUAUUUUCGCCAGACAGGCUGCAGAACCUACUUGUGCCGAGGGCCAGGCACGGAGGCUUCAUUCUUAUUUUUUUUAUGAAGAUGAUGGGACCAUCCAAAUUCCACGUGGCCACUUCAAGAUUGCGCCUCGGUCAUGCAGUGAAUGGGAUUAGUGUCUUGCCUUCAUUUAUAUGUAUUCUUAUAAACUAAAGAACCUAAAGUGAACUAAAAGUGUAUGGGAAGGUGACUGGAAAUAGAACAUUUAAAUAUUUUUGAAAACUUUAUACCUAUAUUUAUAUCUAUGAAUAAACUUGUAGACUGUU